rnacentral:lncRNA from 1 species
UGCGGCUGAUUAGAUUCACAUGGCAUGCAUGCGUGAGACCAGGGGAAGCGGCAGGCAGCAACAGCGAGGCACACGUCCUGCUCCUGUCUGCUGCCAUGCUACUUUUUGUUUAAUAUUAGUUAAUCAAACAGUCUAGCAACGAUCCUUUUACAUAUAUACAGUGACUAACUGCUGAUGCUGAAGCUGAAAGAAGAAGAUGGAGAAGGCAGGCCGACAAGCGCACCUGCCCUGCCCUGCUCGCCAGGGACAUCAGAUGACGACGACGCGGAGAGGGAGUGUUCAGCAAUCUAAUCUUGCGUCCACGUACAUUACAUCAUUUAUUAUUAUUGGACUCUGUCAGCUCAGCAUCAUCCACUUUAAUGACCUGUCUGUCCGCCUGCUCGCUCGCUCUGCCUCCUCUCUGCUCUUAUUAUAGAGGCACCCGCCACCCACGCACGCUCCAUCUCC